rnacentral:rRNA from 1 species
UACAGAGGUCCCGAGCGUUGUUCGGAUUCAUUGGGCGUAAAGGAUGCGUAGGCGGUAAGGUAAGUUGGAUGUGAAAUCCCGGGGCUCAACCUCGGAACUGCAUUCAAUACUGCUUUGCUAGAGUACUGGAGAGGAGAUUGGAAUUCACGGUGUAGCAGUGAAAUGCGUAGAUAUCGUGAGGAAGACCAGUGGCGAAGGCGAAUCUCUGGACAGUUACUGACGCUGAGGCAUGAAGGCCAGGGGAGCAAACGGG